CCUAACCGUGUUGGGUGCCUCAAGUCCAACUGGGACCGGAGACCACCCCCAAAUACCAAACCAUAACCCAACAACCUCAACCAAAUAUCCAACUGGUGCCAACCCUAACGCCAAUUCUAAUACCAAGACUGACAUUAAUACCGACACUGCCCAUGACUAUAGUAGUCCCACAAAGACUCUAACCAAAAAUAAAAGAACAUCUGAUCGAGACAUGCCCCCGAC
rnacentral:lncRNA from 1 species